GCCAGAGAAACCCUCUCCCUCUCCUCUUCAUCACCGCCAUCAUCAACCCCCACCGCCGCUCUCCCCUACUCACCCCCGUCACCGCUCCCUCAGACCCGACGCCGUCAACCUCCUCCCCAUCUCCUUCGCCACCUUCAAACAACCCAGAUCCGAGCUCCUCCACCCCCUGCCACCUCGCCGUCAUCCACCUCCGGCGACGCUAACGCCGAACCCCUAGUUCCACUCCGUCAACCCUCCAAGGUUCGCUGCCCAAACCACCGCACCUCCCCGAGCUCCGCCAUUGCCGUCAAGAUCGCACGCUAUAUGUUCGAUGUUAUGCCAACAGCCCCCUCGAACCCGUUGAGCCCUCGUGAUGAUAACCGUCGUUGUCGCUAUUCCCAAACAUCGCCAUCACCCUCUCGACGACAAGCAUUUCAUAUCCUUUUAACUCUUUUAUUUUUCCAUGAUCACUUAUCAAAUUUUCUAGUAUUUCUUCGUAGAAAAUUUUGAGGCUAGAUUUGCUUCUUUGGCUAAUGGGAGACGGAGGUUCCUAAUCUGUGAGAUUUAGUAUUCCCUUGUCUGGAUUGUUGAUGUGUUAAGAUUACUGCAACUGGCAAGUUAGCUAGUAUGGUCAUACAAAAUAUGCACUUCCUCCAACUUUUUACUGUUUUCCUCUUAGUCUCUGUCCUUACUUUUGAGAAUUCACUUUGACGGCCUAACAUUGCCACUAGAGAUGAAUAUGUUCAGGUUGCUUAUGUGAGUGGUACUAUUAUCUCGAGACUCGGGAAUUGUUCUUUCUUCGCAGGACCAAGAGUACUUUAAGGAUUAAGGACAGCGACAGUGAUCACCUUCUCUCUCUUCACUCUCUCAGCUUCAGUUAUUGAGUCUUUCUUGUAAUCACUUGUGAUACUCCAGACUAAGAUGUAUUUUUUCCCUCUUUCCUACUUUGAAUAGUUGUGGACAUGUAAGAGAACUAGUCUUUUCAGAAUUUUCUUUAUCUAUCUAGUUCCCUUGUUAUUUUGGUUA